UCAUUUUUUGUUAAUAUUUUUUAUAAAAAAUAUUAUCGUCGCUUAGCUUCACAUAACAUUUUAUCCCGAUCAACCCACGUGGGUGUUUAUUUGGAGGUGGGGUGGUCCCCACAAACACUUGGCGCCAAAUUUGGAUAAAACUACAACAGAUAUUUAAUUGGAUUAAUACUGCUUGAAUUAUCAAUAUCUGACAGCAAAAAAUUCGUUUUCCCAAAAUCCGUUCAUUCUUGCAAUAUAAAAUCCUAGCAACAUUGUUGCUGCAACAAUAGAGUGCUGACAAACAUGUUCCUGAUUAUUAAACAAAAAUAGAACAAGCUAAA